rnacentral:rRNA from 1 species
GAUGAACGCUGGCGGCGUGCCUAAUACAUGCCAGUCGAGCGAGCGGCGGACGGGUGUGUAUUGUCUCGGAAACUGCCUGCCGGAGGGGGAUAACUACUGGUAACCGUACCUAAUACCGCCUACCACCAGAUGUUCCCAGAUUGGGUUAGCUAGUAGGUGGGGUAAUGGCUCACCUAGGCGACGAUCCCUCGCUGGUCUGAUAGGAUGACCAGCCACACUGGAACUGAGACACGGUCCAGACGCCUACGGGAGGCAGCGGUGGGGAAUAUUGCACAAUGGGCGCAAGCCGGAUGCAGCCAUGCCGCGUGUGUGAAGAGGGCCUUCGGGUUGUAGAGCACUUUCAGCGGGGAGGCGUUACUCGAAGAAGAAGCACCGGCUAACUCCGUGCCAGCCGCCGCGGUAAUUC